rnacentral:rRNA from 1 species
GACGAACGCUGGCGGCGUGCUUAACACAUGCAAGUCGAACGGAAAGGCCCCUUUGGGGGUACUCGAGUGGCGAACGGGGGCGUAACACGUGAGUAACCUGCCCUUUACUUCGGGAUAACUUCAGGAAACUGGGGCUAAUACCGGAUAGGAAUCCUUGCUGCAUGGUGGGGGUUGGAAAGCUUCGGCGGUUUUGGAUGGACUCGCGGCUUAUCAGCUUGUUGGUGGGGUAGUGGCUUACCAAGGCUUUGACGGGUAGCCGGACUGAGAGGGUGACCGGCCACAUUGGGACUGAGAGACGGCCCAGACGCCUACGGGAGGCAGCAGUGGGGAAGAUUGCACAAUGGGCGGAAGCCUGAUGCAGCAACGCCGCGUGCGGGAUGACGGCCUUCGGGUUGUAAAACGGUUUCAGCAGGGGCGAAGCUUGUGGUGACGGUACCUGCAGAAGAAGCACCGGCUAACUACGUG